rnacentral:rRNA from 1 species
AGGGUUCGAUUCUGGCUCAGAACGAACGCUGGCGGCAUGGAUUAGGCAUGCAAGUCGAACGAAGUAGCAAUACUUAGUGGCGCAAGGGUGAGGAACACGUGAGUGACCUACCCGCAAGUUUGGAACAGCUCCUGGAAACGGGAAUUAAUACCGGAUGUGAUCAAUGAGCUGCAUGGUUUAUUGAUUAAAGCAGCAAUGCGCUUGCGGAUGGGCUCGCGUCCCAUUAGCUAGUUGGUGAGGUAACGGCCCACCAAGGCCAUGAUGGGUAGCUGGUCUGAGAGGACGACCAGCCACACUGGGACUGAGAACUGCCCAGACUCCUACGGGAGGCUGCAGUCGAGAAUUUUGGGCAAUGGACGAAAGUCUGAACCCCCAGCAAUGCCGCGUGCGGGAUGAAGGUCUUCGGAUUGUAAACCGCUGUUUGGAGGGACGAAAAUUGACGGUACUUCCAGAGGAAGCCACGGCUAACUACGUGCCAGCAGCCGC